UAUAUUAAAACUAAGACUUCAGUCUAAUCACCCAUAAAACAUAUUCAAUAGAUACAGUAUCAUUCCUGGAGUAUAUUUUGAUGGUUAAACAUAAAAUCUUGUGAACACACAAAACAGAUAGAAUAUGUAGACUCCCAGUGUGUUACACGGACCACAUGUUUGGUACACAAUCCUGUAUCAAGCAUGUCGUAAAAGUGCAAACUAAUGAAUGAAUGCAUUAAGCAAGAACUGCUCAAUAUGUGAAAACCGAUAAAUUAAAUAAUAUGAGAUAAACUGCUUUCAUGCCAUCACGUCAUAAAAAGCUACUGCUUCGAUUCCUGUUGAGUAGACGUACUGUCAUUCUGUUGCUGAGGCCGAGGCUGCGGCUGAGACUGUUGCUGCAUGUUCUGUCGAGUCGCCUCCUGCUGGCAUAACUGGAACUGCUGGGGGUUAAUCGAAAGCUGUUGAAACUUGGAACGAUCUCCGCUCAGUUCAGCAGAAGCAGGCUUCAAGCGUUUCACCUCAGCUGUUAAUGCUUCAUUAAGUGCUGUCACAAGAAAACCAAAUUAAGUAAAGAAAGCCCAUAAAUAAUAUCAUAAUCACAUUUAACACCAUUUACCAUUCACGAAUAAAUAAGUGACCUUUUCAGAUUAAUUAGAUCGUUCUCCUGAGAAGAUUGAUCUGAAAUGCCAAAUCUAACAACGAAGGACCGUACUAAUAACCAGAUCAUUUUCACGAGAUACUUCAAACAUAGAUUCUUUCUAAUACCUUAUAAAAGCCCUAUCGCCAUGGAUUAAAUAACAUCAACCCUAACAGUCCCUUCACGUAUCCCACUGAAAAGGCAACAGUUUUACUAUAGCAUAGCUUAGAAAAGGUUUGACUCAGUAACUCACAGAUUCUUGAACUUCUCAUUUUAAUUGUUUUUAAUUUCCUGAAAAUUUCCAAGAGGAGAAGGCACUGUCAACAGCUAAUGGGACCUACUAGAUACUCUAGAGAUGUAUCUGGUACAUAAACGGCUUCUUAUUGCAUUAUACCAACUAUUUUUCACAUCUUGCUUUUCUCAGGGAUGGAAUUUAUGCUAGUUAAUGUGUGAAAGAAAGUCCUGCAGUCAAAUGUUACAAGAAUGAUACAAGUGAAAUGUCAUUCAGGACAGACCCUCAUCGAAACUAACAGAGACACAAUCCUUCCAAGUUGCGGUACCAGACGUCCAAACAAGAAGCAGUGAAUUACCUAAUUCAAGUGCAUGCCAGCAUCAAAGAGUAGACUACAAUUGCCCAAUUUUUUUUUCAUGGAAUGCAAAAACCAACCAAGCAGUACGGUAUUUGCACUAGAACCGCCAUAAUUAUGCAUGGGAUCAUAAGAGAGGAAUGAUGACAAUGAUUAAGAUACU
rnacentral:lncRNA from 1 species